rnacentral:rRNA from 1 species
AUGUCCACAAUGGUAAGCCGAUCCAUGUGGUGGUUACGAGGUAACCUUCGAACUGAGAAUGGAGAAUCCAAGCUUAUGAAAAUGUCAAAUGGUCUAAAGAAAAAGUUAAAAGAUGGAAUGAUAAAAGAAUCCAAAAAUAGGAAUUCGAAGUGGGUGAGUAUGUCCUAUUGUACAAUUCUCGUUUUAGAUUUUUUGCGUAAAUGGGAAGGGCCGUAUAUCAUCGAGGAAGUUUAUCGCUCUGGAGCUAUUAAGAUCAAUAACGCCAAGGGCACUAAUCCAAAGGUGGUCAAUGGACAGGAAUUAAGCAUUAUAUCUGAGGUACACCUAUUAAUGUUGAAACUAACAUUAUUCAAACUAUGA